AUACUUACCUAGACAGGGUCAAUCGGUGAUCAAGAAGGCUCGUAGUCUACGAUAGUAACCUAUAUUGCAUUUGGGAGCAGUGUUGCUCUAUGGCUGCCUAAUUAGCAAAGCCUAUGUCAUAAUUUGUGGACCAGUAUUCAUGCCCCUUCCAA
rnacentral:snRNA from 1 species